GCUGGUGUGGCUCAGUGGGUAGAGCGUGGGCCUGCAGACCGAAGGGUCCCGGGUUCGAUUCCCGGUCAAGGGCA
rnacentral:tRNA from 1 species